GUACUUGCUUCAGCACACAUACUAAAACUGGAAUUAUGCAGAGAUUAGCCUGCCCCUGUGCAGGGAUGAAGUUACUCUUAAGUAUAGUGAUGAAGUAUGU
rnacentral:snRNA from 1 species